rnacentral:rRNA from 1 species
AGAGAUUAGUUUGAUCCUGGCUCAGAUUGAACGCUGGCGGCAGGCCUAACACAUGCAAGUCGAGCGGUAGCACAGAGAACUUGCUCUCGGGUGACGAGCGGCGGACGGGUGAGUAAUGUCUGGGAAACUGCCUGAUGGAGGGGGAUAACUACUGGAAACGGUAGCUAAUACCGCAUAAUGUCGCAAGACCAAAGUGGGGGACCUUCGGGCCUCAUGCCAUCAGAUGUGCCCAGAUGGGAUUAGCUAGUAGGUGGGGUAAUGGCUCACCUAGGCGACGAUCCCUAGCUGGUCUGAGAGGAUGACCAGCCACACUGGAACUGAGACACGGUCCAGACUCCUACGGGAGGCAGCAGUGGGGAAUAUUGCACAAUGGGCGCAAGCCUGAUGCAGCCAUGCCGCGUGUAUGAAGAAGGCCUUCGGGUUGUAAAGUACUUUCAGCGAGGAGGAAGGCAUUAAGGUUAAUAACCUUAGUGAUUGACGUUACUCGCAGAAGAAGCACCGGCUAACUCCGUGCCAGCAGCCGCGGUAAUACGGAGGGUGCAAGCGUUAAUCGGAAUUACUGGGCGUAAAGCGCACGCAGGCGGUCUGUUAAGUCAGAUGUGAAAUCCCCGGGCUCAACCUGGGAACUGCAUUUGAAACUGGCAGGCUUGAGUCUUGUAGAGGGGGGUAGAAUUCCAGGUGUAGCGGUGAAAUGCGUAGAGAUCUGGAGGAAUACCGGUGGCGAAGGCGGCCCCCUGGACAAAGACUGACG